GACGAACCGGACGAACGUUAUUCGGAAUCACUGGGCUUAAAGGGUGCGUAGGCGGCUUAGAAAGUUGGGUGUGAAAGCCCUCGGCUCAACCGAGGAACUGCGCUCAAAACUACUAAGCUUGAGGGAGAUAGGGGUGAGCGGAACUGAUGGUGGAGCGGUGAAAUGCGUUGAUAUCAUCAGGAACACCGGUGGCGAAGGCGGCUCACUGUAUCUCUUCUGACGCUGAGGCACGAAAGCUAGGGUAGCGAACGGG
rnacentral:rRNA from 1 species